rnacentral:rRNA from 1 species
UACGAAGGGGGCUAGCGUUGCUCGGAAUCACUGGGCGUAAAGCGCACGUAGGCGGCUUUCUAAGUCAGGGGUGAAAUCCUGGAGCUCAACUCCAGAACUGCCUUUGAUACUGGAAAGCUUGAGUCCGGGAGAGGUGAGUGGAACUGCGAGUGUAGAGGUGAAAUUCGUAGAUAUUCGCAAGAACACCAGUGGCGAAGGCGGCUCACUGGCCCGAUACUGACGCUGAGGUGCGAAAGCGUGGGGAGCAAACAGG